GACGAACGCUGGCGGCGUGCUUAACACAUGCAAGUCGAACGCUGAAGCUCAGCUUUUGUUGGGUGGAUGAGUGGCGAACGGGUGAGUAACACGUGAGUAACCUGCCCCCUUCUUUGGGAUAACGCCCGGAAACGGGUGCUAAUACUGGAUAUUCACUGGUCUUCGCAUGGGGGUUGGUGGAAAGGGUUUUUCUGGUGGGGGAUGGGCUCGCGGCCUAUCAGCUUGUUGGUGGGGUGAUGGCCUACCAAGGCUUUGACGGGUAGCCGGCCUGAGAGGGUGACCGGUCACAUUGGGACUGAGAUCCGGCCCAGACUCCUACGGGAGGCAGCAGUGGGGAAUAUUGAACAAUGGGCGAAAGCCUGAUGCAGCGACGCCGCGUGAGGGAUGGAGGCCUUCGGGUUGUGAACCUCUUUCGCUCAUGGUCAAGCCGCAACAAUGGUUGUGGUGAGGGUAGUGGGUAAAGAAGCGCCGGCUAACUACGUG
rnacentral:rRNA from 1 species